rnacentral:lncRNA from 1 species
AUAAGAAGCUGUGAUAGCCUCUUGUGUGUGACAUAUUGUACAAUGGAACUGUGUGGUGAAGGAUCUCCAUUGGAAAAUCUCACAGAGCCUCACUGUCUGUGUCAGUUUGGGUAGCUGAUGACCUGGCUGCUCACCUUUCACCCAUGGUUUGCCUUCUUCUACCCACUACAGCAAGCAGUAAACCAAACUUCAUCAACAUUUUAUCAUCUUCAUAGUGGCCCAUGUGGAAACUCGAACUAUUGAAACACCCUCGUCCAAAUCUGCAGUUGUCUACCUUUCAAGAGAAAGAGUAUUCUCAUUUUGGAGGAAAAAAAGAAGAAAUAAAAAAGGGAAAGAGCAUCUGAGUUUUUGUUAUGAAAAGGAAAGGACCUCUUCCAUAUUUUCAAGACUCCUGAUGACGUUUAUUCUCUUCAACAGUAGCUCACCAAGAAUGCACUUGCCAUACGGCAGUAGGACAGGAUCAACAUGCCCUGCCCCUACCACCAAUGCAGUUUUACAUUCAUAAGUGUCCUAGUUCCUGCCAGAACAAGGUUGGUUUUUCACAGGAGCCAGGCUGAGCCCUGAUCUCUUGGGCACAGGAUUUCUGGGCUGCCGUGCGCUGUGCUGAGUGGGCAUGGCCAAGACCCAAGUGUUAUUCCAUCCUAUCUUAGGACAUUGCCAGGGAUUGGGAGGAAGGGAUUCUUUUUCCUGGCUUCUGUGAAGAAAGGUGCUCCUUUUCCAGUGGGGAAAAUGUGGCUAUGGUCAGGUCAGGCUUUGAGAUGAACAUUUUUGUAUAUGAAUCAUUCUCUCUUUUUGUAUGCUUUUGCUAUUAAUAUAGUUGCUGUUAGUGUUUUCU